rnacentral:rRNA from 1 species
GACGGGGGGGGCAAGUGUUCUUCGGAAUGACUGGGCGUAAAGGGCACGUAGGCGGUGAAUCGGGUUGAAAGUGAAAGUCGCCAAAAAGUGGCGGAAUGCUCUCGAAACCAAUUCACUUGAGUGAGACAGAGGAGAGUGGAAUUUCGUGUGUAGGGGUGAAAUCCGUAAAUAUACGAAGGAACGCCAAAGCGAAGGCAGCUCUCUGGGUCCCUACCGACGCUGGGUGCGAAAGCAUGGGGAGCGAACAGG